AAGUCGUAACAAGGUUUCCGUAGGUGAACCUGCGGAAGGAUCAAUGGCGAUCGAGAUUGGGAAUGCCCUAGUGGUGAUCCUAAAUCAAGCGUGCGAAAGCACGCGUACACCCUGUUGAAGUGAGUCAGUCUGAAUGGGAGUUCUCAUUUAGAUGGACACAAUAACUAUAGACAAGCAUAAGAGAUAUAUACAUAUAUAUAUAUAUGAACCACUUUUAACAAUGGAUCUCUUGGCUCUU
rnacentral:misc_RNA from 1 species